GGAGUUUGAAUCGGAUAACUCCGACGGGUUCGAUCGGUUACCCGACCCGCUUAUUCACCUCAUGUUCAACCAAAUCUCCGAUAUCAAAACCCUAAUCCGGUGCCGCUCCGUUUCCAAACGGUUCAAUUCGUUGGUACCUCAAGCCGAUUCGCUUCUCCUACGAGUUGACCGGGUAAUUUCGGCUACCGAUUCGGAUGACGACGAUGAUUCCUUCCUCAUUGCUUUCCUCAGAUCCAUUAUCAAAUCCAUUCACCAUCUCGUUUCACCAAGCAAGGUUCUCCCAACCCCUGCCCGAUCCCAGAACUCACCCGCACAGAUCCUACGGGAGUUCGAGAGGAUCAGGAAUCUACAAAUCGAGCUUCCUUCAGGUGAUCUUCGGUUAGAGAAAGGUACAACGAUUAGGUGGAAGGCGGAUUUUGGGAAAACCCUAAAGAGUUGCGUGAUUUUAGGGUUUCAUAGCGGGGAUGGAGGUGGUGGAGAGGCGGAGUUUGGAGGAGGAGCUGGCGCAGGGUUGAAAAUGAGGGUAGUUUGGACAAUUAGCGCGUUGAUUGCGGCAUCAGCGAGGCAUUACAUGAUGGUGGAGGUUGUAAACGAGCAUAAAGAGCUGGAGAAUUUGGUGAUCAAGGACAGAGAUGAUGAAGGGAAAGUGGUGAUGGAUAAGAAAGGAUUGAGAGAAUGUAGGGAAAGUCAAGGCGAAGGUGAAGAAGCUGAGGUAAACAAUGCCAGCAGUGGCAAUGGAGUUGGUUUGUGGUGGCGUAACAAUCGUACAACAGUGCCAGCCGUUCGAAUGAGGAUGUGGCAUGAAGCGAGGAUGGAACUCUCCGGUGGCAUGAAAAUGGUGGGAGCAACAUUGGUGGUUGUCCGACCGACAAAUGGAGGGGGUGAGAGGAGUGAGGUGGAAGAACAAAAUGGAGAUGUAGGAUUGGCAUUAGGAGCAUUUGGGGAAGAUGCAGUGUAUUGUGAAGCUGUGGAGAGGUUGCUGAAAAGUCGAAGUUACAUUCUGGAGAUGAACUCUUUCUAGUUCCUACUAUAUCUCACGUUCUGAAUACUCAACUUCCAAUAUACAGCAGCCUGUGGAGGGCUAAAAUGGCAACUAUUUAAAAUCC
rnacentral:misc_RNA from 1 species